UACGUAGGUGGCAAGCGUUGUCCGGAUUUAUUGGGUUUAAAGGGUGCGUAGGCGGUUCCAUAAGUCAGUGGUGAAAUACGGCAGCUCAACUGUCGAGGUGCCAUUGAUACUGCGGAACUUGAGUGUUGAUGAGGCAGGCGGAAUUGACGGUGUAGCGGUGAAAUGCUUAGAUAUCGUCAAGAACACCGAUAGCGAAGGCAGCUUGCCAAGCAACAACUGACGCUCAGGCACGAAAGUGCGGGGAUCAAACAGG
rnacentral:rRNA from 1 species